rnacentral:rRNA from 1 species
GGUUUGAUUACUGAAAAACUCAGAUUGAACACUUCGGGGGAUGCUUUACACAUGCAAGUCGAGGCGGCGGCACGGACUUCGGUCUGGUGGCGAGUGGCGAACGGGUGAGUAAUGUAUCGGAACGUGCCUAGUAGCGGGGGAUAACUACGCGAAAGCGUAGCUAAUGCCGCAUACGCCCUUAAGGGGAAAGCGGGGGCCUUCGGGCCUCGCACUAUUAGAGCGGCCGAUAUCGGAUUAGCUAGUUGGUGGGGUAACGGCUCACCAGGCGGCAAAUCCGCCAGCUGGUUUGAAGGACAAACCAGCCCACACUGGGACUGAGACACAGCCAGACUCUCACAGGAGGCAGCAUUGAGGCACAGUUGUGGAAACCCUGAUCCGGCCAUACAUUGCGAUGAAGGCCUUCGGGUUGUAAAGCACUUUUGGCAGGAAAGAAACAGCACAGGAUAAUACCAUGCAACUGACAUUUUCCUGAAUAAAACGCCAGCUUAACUACGUGCCAGCAGCCGCAGUAAUAUGGGUGCAGCGGUAAUCGGAAUUACUGGGCAUGACGUGCGCAGGCGGUUCCGGAAGAAAGAUGUGAAAUCCCAGAGCCCAACUUUGGAACUGCAUUUUUAACUACCGAGCUGAAGUGUGUCAGAGAGUGGAAUUCGCGUGGCAGUGAAAUGCGUAGAUACCGGAAGGCACACCGAUGGCGAAAACAGCCUCCUGGGAUAACACUGACGCUCAUGCACAGCGUGGGGAGCAAACAGGAUUAGAUACCUGGUAGUCCACGCCCUAAACGAUGUCAACUGGCUGUUGUGUUGGGCCUUCGGGCCUUGGUAGCGCAGCUAACGCGUGAAGUUGACCGCCUGGGAGUGGUCGCAAGAUUAAAACUCAAGGUGACCAGGACCGCACAAGCGGUGGAUGAUGUGGAUUAAUUCGAUGCAACGCGAAAAACCUUACCUACCCUUGACAUGUCUGGAAUCCCGAAGAGAUUUGGGAGUGCUCGCAAGAGAACCGGAACACAGGUGCUGCAUGGCUGUCGUCAGCUCGUGUCGUGAGAUGUUGGGUUAAGUCCCGCAACGAGCGCAACCCUUGUCGUGGAUUGCUACGAAAAGGGCAUGGCACUCUAAUGCUGGAGACUGCCGGUGACAAACCGGAGGAAGGUGGGGAUGACGUCAAGUCCUCAUGGCCAUAUGGGUAGGGCUUCACGUCAUACAAUGGUCAGGACAGAGGUCGCCAGCCCGCGAGGGGGAGCCAAUCCCAGAAACCCGAUCGUAGUCGGAUCGCAGUCUGCAACUCGACUGCGUGAAGUCGGAAUCGCUAGUAAUCGCGGAUCAGCAUGUCGCGGUGAAUACGUUCCCGGGUCUUGUACACACACCGCCCGUCACACCAUGGGAGUGGGUUUUACCAGAAGUAGUUAGCCUAACCGUAAGGAGGGCGAUUACCACGGUAGGAUUCAUGACUGGGGUGAAGUCAUGCGCGAGUAG